rnacentral:rRNA from 1 species
UACGAAGGGGGCUAGCGUUGCUCGGAAUCACUGGGCGUAAAGGGUGCGUAGGCGGGUCUUUAAGUCAGGGGUGAAAUCCUGGAGCUCAACUCCAGAACUGCCUUUGAUACUGAAGAUCUUGAGUUCGGGAGAGGUGAGUGGAACUGCGAGUGUAGAGGUGAAAUUCGUAGAUAUUCGCAAGAACACCAGUGGCGAAGGCAGCUCGCUGGGACGUUACUGACGCUAAGGCGCGAAAGCGUGGGGAGCGAACAGG